GCCCCUUGUCUGCUUAGCUCAAUUUCUGAGGCCAACUCUUCCGCUGUGCUCAGGGGAGGGGCAUGCUCCUGACAGUUGGUCUAAUUCUCUUUGAAAAUCAUUCAAGUUGGGGGCCAUCACUACAACUUGUGGAUGCAAAGGCCACUGGUUAGCUGCAUGUGUGUGUGUGUGUGUGAGAGAGAGAGAGAGAGAGAGAGAGAGAGAGAAAGUGAUAAAAAAAGAAUACUUGGGGUGGUUUUGCUCAGUGCUUGAAAAGAGUCAAUAAGCAUGAGCACAAGAUCAUCAGAAGCUGCCUUAUACUGAGUCUGACCAUUGGUUCAUCUAACUUUGUACUGCCUACUCAGACUGGCAGCAGCUCUCCAGAGCUUUAGGCAGGACCUUUUUUCAUUAUCUAUUUCCCAGCCCUGCCUGGAGAAAUGAGGGAUUGAAUCUUGGCCAUUCUGCACCUUAUCUCACCUCAUCCCAAACCCACGAACUAUUGUCCUUAUUUAAAGACCAUCACAAUGACUAUGUUGUAGCAGAUCUCACAAGCUGUCUGAUCGAGGUGCAGCACAAACUCCUGCUCCCUAUCUCAUUUUUGACACCCGUGCUAGAAAUUGCCCACCCUUGGCCAUAGGGCAUCAAAACUUUAAUAUAUGACAUAGGAAACGCAACCCACUCAAAGCUGGCCAAAGUUAAAGACAGCUAGGCCUUAUUGAUUUCACCAUGAGAUUUACCUACUGUAUUUUUCGCUCUAUAGGACGCAGCAGACCACAAGAGGCACCUAGUUUUUGGAGGAGGAAAACAAGAAAAAAAAUAUUCUGAAUCUCAGAAGCCAGAACAGCAAGAGGGAUCGCUGUGCAGUGAAAGCAGCAAUCCCUCUUGCUGUUCUGGCUUCUGGGAUAGCUGCGCAGCCUUCAUUCACUCCAUAAGACGCACACACAUUUCCCCUUACUUUUUAGGAGGGAAAAAGUGAGUCUUAUAGAGCAAAAAAUACAGUAUAUGCUUCAUUCUCUCCCACUGAAAUCCAUAGGAUUGUAAAAAUGCUUAAUUUUGGCUGGAUCAAGAGAUCAACCUGCUGCAAGGGCACAAAUAGUCAGGGACCCUCACACUGGACUGCUACGUGUCAGAUUUUUCCAAGUCAAAACUGGUUUUUUACCUUCUAGGCUGCUGUCAAAGGCACAAAAGCAAGGCCAGAGGGAAAAAAGAUGUCACAAAACUUAGGUGGAGUAUGUCUCCCUAUAAAUCAACAACCACCAUGAGCUCAUUAAGGCUUUUUUGAACAGAAAUACUAUUGUCAUGAUUUUUCUUAGCUCUGACAGCAAGUACCGUCUCUGCUUCCAGCUCAGCACAGCAGCCAGCCAAAGGAGGGUGGGUAGGGGGAGUUGUUCUCACCUGUAAGACUGGGCUCAGAGUUCCUCUUUCCUUGCCAAGCCACAGGGGAUUGGAGGGUAAGUCGUAGGGUUCAAUCCAUGAUCCCCUAUUUUCCCUUCAUGGGUGGGAAACUCUGGAGUAAGCAAGGUAAGCUUUGCAUCCUAUUGCAAAUUUGGAGAGACAGCUGAAUUUCCUUCCAAACUACAAACUUCAAAAGUUUCACAUCAAGGCUCACUAAAAUGAGAGGCUAAUCUGAGGGGAUUUUCUGCAACCUGAAAGUAUUCUUGUCUUAAACUGAAAAGCCUUAUUAUUCCCUUCAGCGAAGCACUUGCAACAUGCAUGUGAGUUAAGCUUGCAAACAUUUUCUGCUAGCAGAAGCACCCAACCCUUUGCCUGUAGACAUUCAACAGGUAAUGUUGGGGUUUCAAUCUCAUCCAUGGACAUUGCAAUCCCAGAUGUGUCCUAAACAACAAAUCUGAGAAGUGAAUCCAACACAUUAAAUAGCCCAGCCUAAAAACUGAAUAGACAGGUAAGCAGCAGCUAAAAUAAGGACAGAAUUAAUUCCUAUUAAAGUCUCAGGCAAAAAGGACAGACUUAGCUAAGCAUAUAAAGGAGAGUCCUGCCAAUGUGUUUAAGGACAGCAGCUGCACAUGAGGUGGUAGAUUGGAACUGCUGCUGCUCCAUGCUGGGGUGACCUGGUGAUGAAAUCAGAGGCACUCCAGGUUUUUAUUUCAUUAUUAAACUUAUUAGUUGCUGUUUCUACAAAAAUAUAUCAGUGACUUACAACAAUAACAAGGAGGAAAGGUUGAAGGAGCUGGGUAUGUUUAGCCUGGAAAAGGGGGAGACUGAGAGGAGAUACGAUAGUCAACUUCAAAUAUCUCAAGGGCUUUGUCACAUGGAAGAGGGAACAGGCUUGUUUUCUCCUGCUCUGGGAGGUAGAACUCGAACCAAUGGCUUCAAGCUGCAAGAAAGGAGAUUCCGACUAAACAUCAGGAAGAACUUUCUGAGAGUAAGAGCUGCUUGAAAAUCUUAGGAGGUUGUGGACUCUCCUUCCUUGGAGGUUUUAAAGCCGAGAUUGGAUGGCUAUGUUAUGAAUGCUUUAGCUGAGAUUCCUGCAUUGCAGGGAGUUGGACUAGAUGACCCGUGGGGUCCCUUCUAACUCUACAAUUCUAUGAUUCUAUGAAACAAACAAACAAACAAACAAACAAACAAACAAAGGAAAAUCCAAAAGGCAAUCAUAUUUGUGGAUUGAAACAUCCCACCCGCUCAAGGAGACCACAGAUAAAAGCCAAUGGCCUAACAGAAAGGAAAUGUUUGUGCUUUGUGCCCAAAGAUGUAUUAUGAUGGCUCCAGGCCGGUUUCCUGGGGAGAGAGAGCAUUCCACAAGCAAGCAGCCACCACUGAAAAGGCCUGUUCUUGUGUUGCCACCCUCCAGACCUCCUAUGGAGGGAACACACAGAGAAAGGCCUCACGUGAUGAUCACAGGAUCCAGGUUGGUUCAGCAACCUAGAGCUCCCACAACCUCCCCCUACCCCAUCCAUGUUAGGGGCAGCCCUUCACACACCACUGCAGCUUUGGGAGUUCUAUAAUGUGGUGCCACCACAAAGAAGACCCUACCUCUAGCAGCAUGCCAAUAACCUCUGGAGGUUGGGGCACUCAAAGAAGAACCUCUGAUGAAGGUUGUAGGUUCAAAUUACAUAUUUCAGCAAACAAGUUUUUGAAAAACUCACUGCUUCUCUUUCGAAGAAACAUGCAGUUUCCUGCUUAAAAUACCACCCGCCCCCGCCCCCCCCCCCAGACUGUCAUUUGCCCUUGAGGAUGCUGUUCACAGAAAAUAAUAACAAGAGACUAAAUCAGAGGAAAUAAGCAGUCUUUUACAAACCCCAGGCCCAAACUGUUUAGGGCUUCAUAGGUCAGAACCAGCCUUUCGAAUUAGGCCAAGAAACAAGCCCAGAGCCAGUCAGAUUCCCAAAGAGUGAAGGAGGACACCUUUGAACAAUUCCAGAGAUGAGAGCUUUUUUAGCAGUGCUGUUUUUGUCAAUCUACAUGGCAACAAGGUGCCCUUGCCAAAAAUUCCCUCUUACGGGAGCCCCACGCACUGUUGUGUCUGAUCGGUUUAUUUGAAAGCAGUCCAGGAAAUUAUUUAAAAUGAAGAGAAUGGCUUUCAAACUUCUAGCAUUUUUUUAAACACAAAACAAACCCCCUGUACCAUACUGGAUCCAAAAAGAUACUGGUUUACAUUCCUUUGACCAGGCAAAAGCACAGCGUGUUGGUGUGCUUCCCCUUUGCUUGGUUAGUAAUUAGGAACAUGAGUUCCACUCUUAAACACUCCAGUUUUGCUGUUCUAACUUAUAAAGGAGACCUAAUCUCUAGCUGGCUGUACCUUUUAGCUCUGGGUCACUGGUUCGACAAGCUCUCAUUAACAGGGCACAGAUAUUAACUCUUUAGUCACUCGCUAUGAGAUUUUGCUAUGCAACCCAUUUCUGGGCAUGGGGCUGAUGCAAUCCACAGACAUUUAAUUUCUUUUGUCUUUCCUUAUUCCCAGCAGUUUAAGCUUGCUAGGAUGGCUGGCAUCUGUCUGUCUCAGGAGACAAUGGAAGAAUGUGCCUUCAGGGGUAAAGUCAAACUAUUGGAAAGUUAUGGCACCUGCUGUGGCUGCAGAGACUGAUACAAGAGAGACAUGUUUUGUUGCAGCUGGGGCAGUUGAAAGUUUCUGGUUGUACCAGUGCAGGUGUACCAUGGCAUUUCUUCUUUCUGCACUCCUCCCAGUUGUCAUAACUUCUCUGGUCACUGCUGUGGAUACGCAAGCUGACUAAUUGUCAUUUGCACUGUAGUCAUUGGCAAGAGAUUCCCGCACAGCGGUGCUGAUGUUGUCUGUCUUCACGUCACGUUUGCAGACAUUUUUGUGGCGCAGGUAUGGUGCCUGAAGCCAGCUCCUCAAAGAGCACAUCCUUGGGGAUCCUGCCAUCUUCUAUUCUGUGGACGUCAUUGAGUAUUGAUGUCAUUGAGACAGGAGUGCGAACAUGCUGGGAAUGUGGACCUGGGAGAGCACAUCUUUGUUUGAGACUCUCCACUUCCAUAAAGCAGCAUGCUCAUCAUGCAAGCCUGGUAAACCUUCAUUACUUCCAUUGCCUCAGAUGCAACUGAUAUCAGUAUCAACAUACUUUUAGGUGCAAAAUAGGGAAAUGAAAAUAAUGUAAGGUGGAAGUUAGUCCAUUAGUAAUACCACUAAAUUUGAAUGCUUGUCACUAUCCAUUGUGUUUACAAUAUAUACUUAGCAUAGUGGCUCUUCUAUAUUUCCGCGAGUGUGUUUUGUGUAAAAUGAGACUGGGAGAUUAACUACCUAAGUUACAGGAAGAUAUAAACUUCCUUUAUUUAAACGUUCAUUGCCCAGCUAGAAGGAAAUGUCAUUACCGCAGGAAUUUCAACAAGUUUCAAGAUGCAAACUGUAUUCUUAGUGGGAUUACUUGUACGGAAUUUUCCAGCCUAUCAAAGAAUUUGAGGAUUAUUGUGCAAACAACUACAUGUAGAAUCUUCAAGAAUAUAUGUCAGUCAACUCCAAAGCAGGUCUGUGUUACCUUUCCAAAGGAUAUAUUUCAGAUGUCUCCAAAUCCUUUGAGGGAAAAUUAGGGAUGGAGAAAUCUGUCAAUUGCAGUUUUGCUCUGUUACUCAUUUCCCCAAAUUUAAGUUCAGUUCAUCUGCACCUGAGUGCUGGCAUUAUAGUGUCAUUUAUCCUUUUAAUAUGCAGUUUUUGUGUGUCAGCAUUUGACAGAGACCACACCCUGGGAAAUGGCUUCGACUGGCCGGCUAAACCAGGUGAGAGCAGCUGAAGGGUUUCAAACCCUCAGUAAAUUAGGGACUUCCCCAGCAUGGGAAGACAGGCUCCAGCCAAUUGAAUGGACAAGACCAAUAGUGUGUCCAACGGUGAAGUAGGUGGUUUCUGCACGUACUGUAGAGGAACCUGGGAAGGUAGCCCAUUUAGGAGAAGGAAGACUCUGAUCCGCUGUUGACUUGCAGGAGAGAAAAAAGGCUAAGGUGUAAAUCCUACACAAAUCUGGAGUGGAAUCCCUACGAUAGUUGGAUGACGCCUUGUACCCCUCCUGCCAGUAAAUUCCUGCAGUCAAACUGCUGUCAAACAUAUUGCUGUGCUUUCUUUUGGACCACAUCAGUGAAGAAGAGUUUGGAUAUGAUAUCCCGCUUUAUCACUACCCGAAGGAGUCUCAAAGCAGUUAACAUUCUCCUUUCCCUUCCUCCCCCACAACAAACACUCUGUGAGGUGAGUGAGGCUGAGAGAUUUCAGAGAACUGUGACUAGCCCAAGGUCACCCAGCAGCUGCAUGUGGAGGAGCGGAGACGCGAACCCGGUUCACCAGAUUACGAGUCCACCGCUCUUAACCACUACACCACACUGGCUCUCUGAGGCUGAGAGGGGGGGGUCUUGCCGUCUGGGCACCAUACAUACUGUCCAGGCUUGUGCCCCAGAGAAGUCACUUUGGUGCUGAUAACACAGCAGUUAUCACCUCACCCCCGGAGGUGCACUCCAUUGUCUCUCGAGACUGACAGAUGCCAACAAUGCAUUUCACACAGGCUGAAAGGCCUAUCAAGUCAAGCUUCCUGUUCUCACAGCCAGCUGUCUAUGGGAAGCCCACAAACAGGACUUAAGGACAACACCAAUUGUGAUUCCCAGCGACUGGUAUUCAGAGGCAUACUGCCUCCAAAGUGGAAAAAUAACAUAGCCAUCAUGGCUGGAAGGCACUGACAGCCUUAUCCUCCAUGAAUUUGUGCUCAGUGCCCUGAACACUAGCAGUGAAAUUUGAUAAUAAUGAUAAAUCCUUGUUUAAGAAUAAAACUUCAGUCAGAUCAUUGUUUACAUAAAAACUUGCCGGAGAUUUCAAGGCGUAUCUGUCAGCCUGUAUUUAUCUUGCCCCACUGUGGUUUAGGGAACAUGUUUCCAAACCAAAAUGCCCUAAGCAAAAUUUGCUGACAUCUUAAUGUGCAGGAGACACAUUUAAAUUGCUUCAGAUAUGUUUUGGGGAAAACAGACUGCAGAGAGUUGUCAAAUCCUGGAAUUAGCAUGGCUACAAAGGACAUUGGAAACUGUAAAUAGGAAAAUAACCUUGAAGCCUGCUAGUUGAUGUCCCAUAGAUUUCAUUGUAUCAAUCAGUUUAGUUGAAAACUUCAGUCACUGAUUUAUUUUUAUUUAUAGAUUGAAAUGUAUUAAUUUUCCACAGGUUAAAACGGGCAGAAAACUCAUUGUGAGUCUUAUUAUUUGUCAAGAUGAAUGCAGUGGGAGAGGAGCAGAGAAACAAAACCUAGACCUGGCAGUAAUUAUGGGAUUCAAGGUGGUUAUGUUGGCUUUGAAACCCAUGUGUCAAAGUCGAGAUUUAUGGCCAAAAUGUUCAAACCUGCAAAACGGUAAAGCCAGACUUAUAAUUAGUUGUUAGCAUUGAAUAGAACUGGCAUUGUUUCAGAGUUGAUUCAAGUCAGAGAACCUUUCUUUAUACAUUAGAUUUUGGAGGAUAAGCUUCCCUCUCCUGCCCUCGUCCAUGGCACCCUUAACUAGCACUGGCAAAAGAAGAAGAAUGAAUUAGAGAGCCAAAUUGGUUUAGUGUUCUCCCAUAGCUGCAGAGCUAGAUGAUAAUUCUCUGUGUACACAAGAAAAGAGCACCAAAAGUGGCUUAUAAUAAAACAAUCAUUUUCUCUUUCUAGGUGGUAGAACAGGGCUGUGGAACCUUCUUCAGCCUGAGGGCUGAGUUACCUCACGGGCAACAAACAUUGGGCAGGAGCAGAGGCAAAAGUAGG